rnacentral:rRNA from 1 species
AUUGAACGCUGGCGGCAUGCCUUACACAUGCAAGUCGAACGGUAACAGGUCUUCGGAUGCUGACGAGUGGCGAACGGGUGAGUAAUACAUCGGAACGUGCCCGAUCGUGGGGGAUAACGAGGCGAAAGCUUUGCUAAUACCGCAUACGAUCUACGGAUGAAAGCGGGGGAUCUUCGGACCUCGCGCGGACGGAGCGGCCGAUGGCAGAUUAGGUAGUUGGUGGGAUAAAAGCUUACCAAGCCGACGAUCUGUAGCUGGUCUGAGAGGAUGAUCAGCCACACUGGGACUGAGACACGGCCCAGACUCCUACGGGAGGCAGCAGUGGGGAAUUUUGGACAAUGGGCGAAAGCCUGAUCCAGCCAUGCCGCGUGCAGGAUGAAGGCCUUCGGGUUGUAAACUGCUUUUGUACGGAACGAAAAGCCUCUUUCUAAUAAAGAGGGGUCAUG